rnacentral:rRNA from 1 species
ACGCUCGACACCUACGGGGGGCAGCAGUCGGGAAUAUUGCGCAAUGGAGGAAACUCUGACGCAGUGACGCCGCGUAUGGGAAGAAGGUUUUCGGAUUGUGAACCAUUUUAGACAAGGAAGAAACAAGACAGUACUUGUAGAAUAAGCUCCGGCUAACUACGUGCCAGCAGCCGCGGUAAUCUGAGCGGGCUGGCAAGGC